rnacentral:ncRNA from 2 species
AAUGAUCUGACAUCAAUUGGUUCUGCUCAAGGCAAACGUCUUGGCGGAGUAAAUGGGAACGUGACGGAUGGACCCCUGCCGGGCAUCUUCAUCACGGCCGACCCCGCGACUGUAGAGCGGUCAAGGGUUUUCCAUCCCGGAGGGUCCGGGAAAAGCCACUGGGAGGCGGACGCGUUCACCCCUGGGAAGGCGAGGAAAGCCCCAAGGUGCCCCGGCGCCUGACACCGCGAGCCAGGAAACCUGCCGGUUGAUGAAGGGCAUA